rnacentral:rRNA from 1 species
GGGCCCGAUGGCGGGAGCGGCAUCGCGCUGCCAUCGAUGAGGCAGCCGCCCCCGCUUCACCCGGAGCCCACCUCGCCCACCACGCAGUCGCACCACCACUACUACCUCUUCUCCAUCAAGCAGCUCAACACGCUGGGCGCCGCCGCCGUACUGGCCUUCUCGACCACCGUGCCGCUCUCGGAGAUCACCUUUGGCGUUCUGCUCCUCCCCUACCUCCUCCUCCUGGCCACGCUCGCCUUCCCGCAGCGCCCCGGGAAGCCCAACCCGUCCGCACCUGUCUUCCGCGGCCUCGCGCACCUCCUCGCCGCGCACACCGUGGGCGGGUUCCUCGUCGGCGCCGCGCUCCCGGCGCUGUACAUCCUCGACGGCCUCCGGUCCGGGGACACCACGGAGAUCGCCGCCGCGGCCCCGCACGCGUUCGUGCUCUCCACGCAGGUCUUCACCGAGGGGCUCACCGCCGCGUUCCCGUGGCGGUUCUCGCUCCCCAUCAGGGCCGCCGUACCGGUCAUGUACAACGCGAGCAGGAUGUUCGCGGCAGGGGAGUGGCUCCGGAAGGAGAUGGAGGGGGCGACUGCGGUGAUGGGAAGGGAAGGGGGCGGAGCGGCAGGAGGGUGGGCUGGUCGAGGAGUUCCCUGGCGGCGGCGGUGGUGUAGGAAACCAUAG